AUGGUGCGGGCUUUCGUGCUGCUGGCGCCGGGCGGGCCCGCCCCCUGCCGCGUGCUGUACGCGCGCACCUUCGGGACCCCCCCCGGCGCCGGCCCCGGGGGGCCCCGGCAGCGCCUCCGCCGCAAGGAGCAGCUGCUGGUCGUGGCCAGACAAGUGGCCUCCCAGUGCCAACUGCUUCAGGCGUCCUUGGGGCGCCCAUCCUCCCCACAGCUUCCCCAGCUACCCGAUGAGCCGAUGUCCCUCCAAGAUGCUCCAGGGGGUGUUUUCCAGAUGCCCCCCGGAGACCCAUUCCCUGAGCGGGUGACAGUAGUCUGGUUAUCGGUGCUGGCCCUCGCCUUCGCCUUGGUUUGUGAGCCCCAGGAGAAUCUGUCCUUGGCUGAGAUCACCCUGCGGCGCCUGGCUCCCCGCCUGCUGCUCUCCCUGCGCCUGCUCGGCCCCGGCGCUGACGUCCUGCUCCGUCCUGAUGCCGCCGAUGGCCUCCUGGACCGUCUCCUGCCCCACGGGCAGAUGCUUUUCCUCAAUGAACGUUUCCUUCAGGCAAUGGACCGAGAGCUGGGGCUCAAAGUGUCCCGCUGAGCCACAGAUGGCAUUCCUGCCUACCACCCCCAGAUAUUUUGAGGGAUGAGAGACAAGGGAGGGAUCUGAGAUGGUCACCAAGCCCCAGUGGGAUGGAUGAGAAACAUAGUUCUGGUAUAAAGAGCUAUGAGCCAGCUAAGAGCAGGGUUUUAAUCCAUUUAUUCCCCAACACCAUCAUGGGAGAGCUAAUAGCCAUCCCCAUAAAUCCACCUGGAGCUGGGACAGUGCCAAGUUCCUGCACUGCGUUCCUGCACCACUCCACGUGCACAUGACAGCGAGUGGAGGCUGCACGUGGCUAUGAAGGGAUGCUAAAAGAGGAACCCUGGAUUGUGGUUAUCCCAGCUGGGCACUGUGGGGCAUGCAAGGUUUCCCUGGCAGGGGAAACAUGGCUCUGGGAUGGGACCUUGCCAGGGUACAUGGGGCGAGCAGGGGUGUGCACCCCGCCAUGGGGCAUUGGGGUCUCUGUGUGGGGCAUUAAAUGAACAGGCAGUGGGGCAGGAUGUAGCCUUGUGCCUGGCACAGCAGGGUGCUUGUCCCUAGAUGGUGCUGCCUGGGGCCAGGGGACCUGUGUGACACCCUGGGAGGUGGCAGGAGCUGGCACCCACCUACCCCGCUCUGCCUCUGCAGGGUGCAGUGGGGAGCAGGGUCCUACCCUAGCAGUUUCUGGGUGCUGGGAAAUCCAGGGAGCCAGGAGCUGGUGUGCACAGCUCUUACAUCACUGUGCUGGGAACAGGCUGGGCACUGCCACGCUGUGCAGAGGGGCUGUCACAGGGCCAGGCCCCAAAGUGCUUUCCCUUGUAACUGCACCGGUAAAGCUGGAGCACCUGAGGAGGGGUGCUGGGCACUGGGCUUCAGCCAUGGUGGGUCUCUGGCUGUGCUGGGGGAUCUCACUGUGUGCUGGAGGUGGGGGGACAUUGCAGCCCACUGUGGCAUCCCCCCUUAAGGGGAAGGGAGCAGUGUCUUCACCUCCCCAUGUAAUAGCAGCUGUCACAUACUGCACCCACAACGGGCUUGAAUACAACCAAGAGCCAAAGAGACUCUUGUCCUGGAGAGUUUCAAUGGUGUUAGCAAUUAAUUGUUGAUGAGAUACUGGAAUCUGAAUGUAUGGGCCAUUAUUGUGUCUGCACUGAUAGGAUUCCCGUUGCUGGAUUUCAGUAUCACCUGGUUUAUGGCCAAAAUUCUCUUGCAAAUCAGCCACCUGAAUUGGAUCAAAUGCAAUAGUUAUUUGUGUUUAGUUUUCCUUUCCACCCUCAGGUCUAGUAGAUUCAGGGGGAAUUGAAGGAGAUCAGGAAUCAUCUUUUCCCGAUUCUCUGUCAUGGGGAUCGCCCUGUGUUUCCAUCCCAUAGUAACAGACCCAUUUACUGUCUUCCAACUCCCUCAUUGGAUACAGAAGGUCAGAAUUGUGAGACUGUAUUUCUGCAAAUGGUCCAGAUGCUCUAUCCUGCACUGGUGCCUCCUUUCCCAGAGACCCCACUGACCUGGCCUGGGCCAGGCACCACUUGGCUUCUGCUUCUCCUUGAUCUCCUACUGGAGCUAGAGCAGCACCUGCUCCAUCAUGGUGGGUUCCUGUACUGCACAACCUGCUGGAUCAGAUCAUCCAGGAUGGAGCAGAUCAGCCUAUGCAGCCCUUUCCUACAAGAGACAUCAAAGGAGCACUCAGGAGGGCAGAAAGGAGGACUCCCCCUGCUUGCAGCACCCUCAGCCAGGUCCAUAGCUGUGCUCCGUAGCUGAGCCAGCUCUCCUGAACCUUUACAGCUUGGGUGUGGCAGAAGGGUGGAGCUGCCAGGGCUCCUGGGCACCAGAGCACGUGGAAUCCUGAGAGGUGUGGGGGCCCUGGGUG